rnacentral:misc_RNA from 1 species
GCACAAGCUAUGUCUGUAACUGAAAGAUCUUGAUAAACACAAAACGCAUAGCCCUUCGAGUUGCCUGUUUCUCUGUCUUUGACUAGAUCCAAAACCUCGAAGAGGCCCAAAGGAUUCCAACAACUCUCUGAUUUGAGCUUCUGUAAAGUAAUAGGGAAGACCACCAACAAAGAUGCGGUCAGGACCCUCAAGCCCACCAGCAGAUCCUG